CAAGUGUACUGGCAUGUUCUGUGGAUCAUUUACCCAUGACUCAAAACUCCUGAGGGCAAUAACCAUGUCAUAUUCAUCUCGGUAAUCUCAAUAAAUAUUUACUGAAGAA